rnacentral:rRNA from 1 species
GACGAACGCUGGCGGCGUGCUUAACACAUGCAAGUCGAACGGAAAGGCCCUGCUUUUGUGGGGUGCUCGAGUGGCGAACGGGUGAGUAACACGUGAGUAACCUGCCCUUGACUUUGGGAUAACUUCAGGAAACUGGGGCUAAUACCGGAUAGGAUCUCCUGCUUCAUGGUGGGGGUUGGAAAGUUUCGGCGGUUGGGGAUGGACUCGCGGCUUAUCAGCUUGUUGGUGGGGUAGUGGCUUACCAAGGCUUUGACGGGUAGCCGGCCUGAGAGGGUGACCGGCCAAAUUGGGACUGAGAUAAGGCACAGACUCCUACGGGAGGCAGCAGUGGGGAAUAUUGCACAAGGGGCGGAAGCAUGAUGCAGCAACGCCGCGUGCGGGAUGACGGCAUUCGGGUUGUAAACCGCUUUCGCCUGUGACGAAGCGUGAGUGACGGUAAUGGGUAAAGAAGCACCGGCUAACUACGUG